rnacentral:sRNA from 1 species
AGCUGCACCUGUCCUGUGGGGCACUCCUCCCCCAGGGAAGCCAUCAACCGGCUCCAUGAGGCCGUGCCUGGCGUCCGGGGAUCCUGGAAGAAAAAGGCCCCCAACAAGGCCCUGGCGUCCGUCCUGGGCAAGAGCAACCUUCGCUUUGCCGGCAUGAGCAUUUCCAUCCACAUCUCCACCGAUGGCCUCAGCCUCUCUGUGCCUGCCACGCGCCAGGUCAUCGCCAACCACCACAUGCCGUCCAUCUCCUUCGCAUCAGGCGGAGACACGGACAUGACGGAUUACGUGGCCUACGUCGCCAAGGACCCCAUCAACCAGAGAGCCUGCCACAUCCUGGAGUGCUGUGAGGGCCUGGCGCAGAGCAUCAUCAGCACCGUGGGCCAAGCCUUCGAGCUGCGCUUCAAGCAGUACCUGCACAGCCCACCCAAGGUGGUGCUGCCCCCAGAAAGGAUUGGGGAGGACUGAGCAAGCUGACUCCCUGGUGUGCCUGAGGCUGUCAGCCCUGCUGCUACAACCAAUAUCCCUCCUCCAGACGUGCGGCCGGCUCCUGCAAAGGGCAGAAAACGGCCUCCGUCUCACCGCAGAAGAUGUGUAAAGGGGGGGCGUGUCUGUGUGCUGGUAACACAUUAGG